rnacentral:lncRNA from 1 species
AAUAAUAUUUUCCUUACUGAACAUAAGAAACUCAUUCUUUUCUUGCCCUCCCCCUAGAUGAGGAAGAUAGUGAGGGACCGUCAACUGACCUAUCUAGUGAAGUUUAUGAGGAUUUCGUGGAUCUACAAACCUUGAGUGCAUGAUUGUUUCUACACUUUAAUGAGUUCAAUAGCAUAAUAAUAGAAGUGGCCCUUUUUUUAGC